UGCCCCGUGGCUUAGUUGGUUACGGCGUCCGACUGUUAAGAUAUGAUGUUCAAUAAUAUCAAUCAUGAACCAUCGGAAGAUCGAGAGUUCGAGUCUCUCCGGGGCAG